GAUAUUCAUCAAGAGUGAGAUUAAAUUCUCCUCCAACCUGCCAACUCCGGCAAGGUGGAAAAAUGAUGGGGUUAAUCAACAAUUAAAGGAGUAAGA
rnacentral:ncRNA from 1 species